rnacentral:rRNA from 1 species
UACGUAGGGGGCAAGCGUUAUCCGGAAUUACUGGGUGUAAAGGGAGCGUAGACGGUAAUGUAAGUCUGGAGUGAAAGGCGGGGGCCCAACCCCCGGACUGCUCUGGAAACUAUGUUACUAGAGUGCAGGAGAGGUAAGCGGAAUUCCUAGUGUAGCGGUGAAAUGCGUAGAUAUUAGGAGGAACGCCAGUGGCGAAGGCGGCUUACUGGACUGUAACUGACGUUGAGGCUCGAAAGCGUGGGGAGCAAACAGG